rnacentral:rRNA from 1 species
UACAGAGGUCUCAAGCGUUGUUCGGAUUCAUUGGGCGUAAAGGGUGCGUAGGUGGCGGGGUAAGUCAGGUGUGAAAUCUCGGGGCUCAACCCCGAAACUGCACUUGAUACUGCCUUGCUCGAGUACUGGAGAGGAGAUUGGAAUUUACGGUGUAGCAGUGAAAUGCGUAGAUAUCAGGAGGAACACCGGUGGCGAAGGCGGGUCUCUGGGCCGUAACUGACGCUGAGGAGCGAAAGCAUGGGGAGCGAACAGG